rfam:Caenorhabditis elegans chromosome I
GGGCAAAAGUUAGGCAAGACUUUGGCAAAACUUGGAUUCAAGCUUUACCAAAGUCUAACCCAAGUUUCACCCAACUCUUGCCA